GGGGAUAUGGUUUAGUGGUAUAAUGCUUCCUUAGCAUGGAAGAGGUCCCGAGUUCGAUUCUUGGUGUCUCCA
rnacentral:tRNA from 5 species